rnacentral:tRNA from 1 species
GCUCAGUUGGUAGAGCAUAACGCUCUUAACCUUGUGGACGUGGGUUCAAGCCCUAC